ACUACGGGUGGCAGCAGUCAGGAAUAUUGGUCAAUGGGCGAGAGCCUGAACCAGCCAAGUCGCGUGAAGGAUGACGGCCCUACGGGUUGUAAACUUCUUUUGUCAGGGAGCAAUUGAGUCCACGUGUGGUCUUAGCGAGAGUACCUGAAGAAAAAGCAUCGGCUAACUCCGUGCCAGCAGCCGCGGUAAUACGGAGGAUGCGAGCGUCAUCCGGAUUAAUAGGGUUUAAAGGGUGCGUAGGCGGAAUAUCAAGUCAGCGGUAAAAAUUCGGGGCUAAACCCCGUCGUGCCGUUGAAACUGAUGUUCUUGAGUGGGCGAGGAGUAUGCGGAAUUCGUGGUGUAGCGGUGAAAUGCUUAGAUAUCACGAAGAACUCCGAUUGCGAAGGCAGCUUACUAAACUGCCACUGACAUUGAUGCUCGAAAGUGUGGGUAUCAAACAGGAUUAGAUACCCGGGUAGUC
rnacentral:rRNA from 1 species